AUUGAACGCUGGCGGCAGGCCUAACACAUGCAAGUCGAGCGGAGCGGCGGACGGGGGAGUGAUGCCUAGGAAUCUGCCUGGUGGUGGGGGAUAACGUCCGGAGACGGGCACUAAUACCGCAUACUAUCAGAUGAGCCUAGGGCGGCUUAGCGAGUUGGGGGGGUAAAGGCUUACCAAGGGGACGAUCCGUAACUGGCCUGAGAGGAUGAUCAGUAACACUGGAACUGAGACACGGUCCAGACUCCUACGGGAGGCAGCAGUGGGGAAUAUUGGACAAUGGGCGAAAGCCUGAUCCAGCCAUGCCGCGUGUGUGAAGAAGGUCUUCGGAUUGUAAAGCACUGUAAGUUGGGAGGCGUUACCAACAGAAUAAGCACCGGCUAACUUCGUGCCAGCAGCCGCGGUAAUAC
rnacentral:rRNA from 1 species